CGCUCCGGUGGCCUAGUGGUUAGAAAUUCCGCCUCGGAUGCGGGAGUUCGUGGAUUCGAUUCCCUGUCGAGUGA